GACGAACGCUGGCGGCGUGCUUAACACAUGCAAGUCGAACGGUGAAGCGCCUUCCUUUUUGGUGGGUGUGGAUGAGUGGCGAACGGGUGAGUAACACGUGAGUAACCUGCCCCCUUCUUCUGGAUAACCGCAGGAAGGUGUGGCUAAUACGGGAUAUUCUGGGUCUGUCGCAUGAUGGGUCUGGGAAGGAUAUUGUUUCGGUGGGGGAUGGGCUCGCGGCCUAUCAGCUUGUUGGUGGGGUGAUGGCCUACCAAGGCGGUGACGGGUAGCCGGCCUGAGAGGGUGGACGGUCACACUGGGACUGAGACACGGCCCAGACUCCUACGGGAGGCAGCAGUGGGGAAUAUUGCACAAUGGGCGCAAGCCUGAUGCAGCGACGCCGCGUGAGGGAUGGAGGCCUGCGGGUUGUGAACCUCUUUCGCCAGUGAAGCAGGCCUGCCUCGUUUGUGGGUGGGUUGACGGUAGCUGGAGAAGAAGCGCCGGCUAACUACGUG
rnacentral:rRNA from 1 species